UCCUUGUCGGGUAAGUUCCGACCUGCACGAAUGGCGUAACGACUUCCCCGCUGUCUCCAACAUAGACUCAGUGAAAUUGAAUUGCCUGUCAAGAUGCAGGCUUCCCGCGGUUAGACGGAAAGACCCCGUGCACCUUCACUACAGCUUCGCACUGGCAUCAGGCACAACAUGUGCAGGAUAGGUGGUAGGCUUUGAAGCAGGGACGCCAGUCCCUGUGGAGCCUCCCUUGAGAUACCACCCUUGUUCUGCUUGAUGUCUAACCGCGGCCCGUUAUCCGGGUCCGGGACCCUGCGUGGUGGGUAGUUUGACUGGGGCGGUCGCCUCCUAAAGCGUAACGGAGGCGCGCGAAGGUUGGCUCAGAGCGGUCGGAAAUCGCUCGUUGAGUGCAAUGGCAGAAGCCAGCCUGACUGCAAGACUGACAAGUCGAGCAGAGUCGAAAGACGGCCAUAGUGAUCCGGUGGUCCCGAGUGGGAGGGCCAUCGCUCAACGGAUAAAAGGUACGCCGGGGAUAACAGGCUGAUACUGCCCAAGAGUCCAUAUCGACGGCAGUGUUUGGCACCUCGAUGUCGGCUCAUCUCAUCCUGGGGCUGGAGCAGGUCCCAAGGGUAUGGCUGUUCGCCAUUUAAAGAGGUACGUGAGCUGGGUUUAGAACGUCGUGAGACAGUUCGGUCCCUAUCUGCCGUGGGUGUAGGAUACUUGAGAGGAGUUGCCCCUAGUACGAGAGGACCGGGGUGAACGAUCCACUGGUGGACCUGUUGUUGCGCCAGCAGCAGUGCAGGGUAGCUAUGAUCGGACAGGAUAACCGCUGAAGGCAUCUAAGCGGGAAGCCCCCCUCAAAACAAGGUAUCCCUGAGGACCGUGGAAGACCACCACGUCGAUAGGCCGGAGAUGUAAGCACAGCAAUGUGUU
rnacentral:rRNA from 14 species